UACGGAGGGUGCAAGCGUUAUCCGGAUUCACUGGGUUUAAAGGGUGCGUAGGCGGGCAGGUAAGUCAGUGGUGAAAUCUCCGGGCUUAACCCGGAAACUGCCGUUGAUACUAUCUGUCUUGAAUACUGUGGAGGUCAGCGGAAUAUGUCAUGUAGCGGUGAAAUGCUUAGAUAUGACAUAGAACACCAAUUGCGAAGGCAGCUGGCUACACAAAUAUUGACACUGAGGCACGAAAGCGUGGGGAUCAAACAGG
rnacentral:rRNA from 1 species